UACACUCCUGCGGGAGGCAGCAGUGGGGAAUAUUGGACAAUGGGCGCAAGCCUGAUCCAGCCAUGCCGCGUGAGUGAUGAAGGCCCUAGGGUUGUAAAGCUCUUUCACCGGUGAAGAUAAUGACGGUAACCGGAGAAGAAGCCCCGGCUAACUUCGUGCCAGCAGCCGCGGUAAUACGAAGGGGGCUAGCGUUGUUCGGAUUUACUGGGCGUAAAGCGCACGUAGGCGGACUAUUAAGUCAGGGGUGAAAUCCCGGGGCUCAACCCCGGAACUGCCUUUGAUACUGGUAGUCUCGAGUUCGAGAGAGGUGAGUGGAAUUCCGAGUGUAGAGGUGAAAUUCGUAGAUAUUCGGAGGAACACCAGUGGCGAAGGCGGCUCACUGGCUCGAUACUGACGCUGAGGUGCGAAAGCGUGGGGAGCAAACAGGAUUAGAAACCCGAGUAGUCCCAUG
rnacentral:rRNA from 1 species